rnacentral:rRNA from 1 species
GGCCUGGCUGGACGGUCCGCCCUUCGGGUGAGUACUGUCUGUGGUCGGGUCCUACCUUCUGGCGAAGCGUCAUGGCCUUAACCGGGUGUGGCGGGGAACCAGGACUUUUACCUUGAAAAAAUUAGAGUGUUUAAAGCAGGCCAAUUGCUUGAAUACAUUAGCAUGGAAUAAUGAAAUAGGACCUCGGUUCUAUUUUGUUGGUUUCUAGGACCGAAGUA